rnacentral:rRNA from 1 species
GACAAACGCUGGCGGCGUGCUUAACACAUGCAAGUCGAACGGAAAGGCCCUGCUUGCAGGGUACUCGAGUGGCGAACGGGUGAGUAACACGUGGGUGAUCUGCCCUGCACUUCGGGAUAAGCCUGGGAAACUGGGUCUAAUACCGGAUAGGAGCCAUUUUUAGUGUGAUGGUUGGAAAGUUUUUUCGGUGUAGGAUGAGCUCGCGGCCUAUCAGCUUGUUGGUGGGGUAAUGGCCUACCAAGGCGGCGACGGGUAGCCGGCCUGAGAGGGUGGACGGCCACAUUGGGACUGAGAUACGGCCCAGACUCCUACGGGAGGCAGCAGUGGGGAAUAUUGCACAAUGGGCGCAAGCCUGAUGCAGCGACGCCGCGUGGGGGAUGACGGCCUUCGGGUUGUAAACUCCUUUCGCUAGGGACGAAGCUUUUUGUGACGGUACCUAGAGAAGAAGCACCGGCUAACUACGUG